rnacentral:rRNA from 1 species
GAUCCUGGCUCAGGAUGAACGCUAGCUACAGGCUUAACACAUGCAAGUCGAGGGGCAGCAUGGUCUUAGCUUGCUAAGGCCGAUGGCGACCGGCGCACGGGUGAGUAACACGUAUCCAACCUGCCGUCUACUCUUGGACAGCCUUCUGAAAGGAAGAUUUAAUACCAAGAUGGCAUCAUGAGUCCACAUGUUCACAUGAUUAAAGGUAUUCCGGUAGACGAUGGGGA